UCAAGCUACGAAGGGCGUACGGUGGAUGCCUUGGCGCAAGCAGGCGAUGAAGGACGUGGCUAGCUGCGAAAAGCUCCGGGGAGCCGCUAAGCAGGCUUUGAUCCGGAGGUCUCCGAAUGGGGCAACCCGAUGUCAUUAAUCUGGCAUCAUCCCGCACUGAAUUCAUAGGUGCGUGGAGGCAAACGGGGGGAAGUGAAACAUCUCAGUACCCCUAGGAAGAGAAAUCAAGAGAGAUUCCCCUAGUAGUGGCGAGCGAACGGGGAAGAGCCCAAACCACCUGUAGCAAUACUGGUGGGGUUGUGGGGCUGCUUCAGGGUUUACCCGGGAAGUCAAAAAAUCGUAAUGUAGCAGAAGGUUCCUGGAACGGACAACCAAAGAGGGUGAGAGUCCCGUAAGCGAAACAUGGCGAUCUUCCUGGAAGCAGUUCCCGAGUACCGCGGGGCACGUGGAACCCCGUGGGAAACUGGGAAGACCAUUUCCCAAGGCUAAAUACUUGCUUGCGACCGAUAGUGAACUAGUACCGUGAGGGAAAGGUGAAAAGCACCCCAGUGCGGGGAGUGAAAUAGUACCUGAAACCGUACGCUUACAAGCAGUGGAAGGGCGUUUCAUCGCGGUUCGCCGCGUUGAUGCCUAACCGCGUGCCUUUUGCUUAAUGAGUCUGCGAGUUACUCUGUGCAGCAAGGCUAAGCCGAGCGAGGUGGAGCCGUAGCGAAAGCGAGUCUGAAUAGGGCGAUUGAGUUGCACGGAGUAGACCCGAAGCGGGAUGAUCUACCCAUGGCCAGGGUAAAGUCUCGGUAACACGAGAUGGAGGCCCGAACUGGUGGAGGUUGAAAACUCCUCGGAUGAGCUGUGGGUAGGGGUGAAAGGCUAAUCAAAUUCCGUGAUAGCUGGUUCUCCCCGAAAUAUAUUUAGGUAUAGCCUUGGAAGCUCACUGUCGGAGGUAGAGCACUGGAUGGGCUAGGGCCCUUACCGGGGUACCAAACCUAACCAAACUCCGAAUGCCGGCACGUGGAGUCCAGGAGUCAGACUACGGGUGAUAAGGUCCGUGGUCAAAAGGGAAACAGCCCAGACCGCCAGCUAAGGUCCCAAAGUCCGUGCUAAGUGGGAAAGGAUGUGGAAGCGCCCAGACAACCAGGAGGUUGGCUUAGAAGCAGCCAUCCUUUAAAGAAAGCGUAACAGCUCACUGGUCAAGCGAAUCCGCGCCGAAAAUGUAACGGGGCUCAAGCACGGUACCGAAGCUGCGGAUCGGCCUGGCAUUUCGGUGCUGAGUCGAUGGUAGGGGAGCAUUCCAGUCGCCUGUGAAGGGUGAUCGUGAGGACAUCUGGAGGUUCUGGAAGAGCUUAUGCAGACAUGAGUAGCGAUAAUGUCGGUGAGAAACCGACACGCCGUAAGUCCAAGGUUUCCUGGGUAAAGGUAAUCUGCUCAGGGUUAGUCGGUGCCUAAGCCGAGGCCGAAAGGCGUAGACGAUGGGAAACAGGUUAACAUUCCUGUACCACCGCGGCGGCGACAAAGACGCCAAGGGGGGACGGAGAAGGGUAGGUUGGCCGGGUGUUGGAUGUCCCGGUUUAAGCCAGUAGGCGGGAGGAGCAGGUAAAUCCACUCCUCUACUUCAAACGUCGAGAGGUGAUGACGAGCGAUUCUUUCGAGUCUCGCGAAGUGACUGAUCCCAUGCUUCCAAGAAAAUCCUCGUGGCGAGUCGUCGAGGUGACCGUACCGUAAACCGACUCAGGUGGACGGGUAGAGUAUACCAAGGCGCUUGAGAGAACCGUGGUUAAGGAACUCUGCAAAUUGACACCGUAACUUCGGAAGAAGGUGUACCCCCGGUAGGUGAAGGGAUUCGCUCCCGGAGCUGAAGGGGGUCGCAGUGAUCAGGGGGUAGCGACUGUUUAUCAAAAACACAGGACUCUGCAAAGUCGCAAGACGACGUAUAGGGUCUGACGCCUGCCCGGUGCCGGAAGGUUAAGGGGAUUUGUUAGCCGCAAGGCGAAGCUUUGAACCGAAGCCCCGGUAAACGGCGGCCGUAACUAUAACGGUCCUAAGGUAGCGAAAUUCCUUGUCGGGU
rnacentral:rRNA from 1 species